GAUGAAGAACGUAGCGAAAUGCGAUAAGUAAUGUGAAUUGCAGAAUUCAGUGAAUCAUCGAAUCUUUGAACGCACAUUGCGCCCCCCAGUAUUCUGGCGGGCAUGCCUGUUCGAGCGACAUUUCAACCAUCAAGCCCUGCUUGUGUUGGGGUCCUGCGGCUGCCCGCAGGCCCUGAAAACCAGUGGCGGGCUCGCUAGUCACACCGAGCGCAGUAGCACAUCUCGCUCAGGGCGUGCGGCGGGCUCCAGCCGUUAAAGCACCCACCUUUCGCAAGGUUGACCUCGGAUCAGGUAGGAAUACCCGCUGAACUUAAGCAUAUCAAUAAGCGGAGGA
rnacentral:misc_RNA from 1 species